rnacentral:rRNA from 1 species
UGGGGAAUUUUGGACAAUGGGGGCAACCCUGAUCCAGCCAUGCCGCGUGUGUGAAGAAGGCCUUCGGGUUGUAAAGCACUUUCGGACGGAACGAAAUCGCGCGGGUUAACAUCCCGCGUGGAUGACGGUACCGUAAGAAGAAGCACCGGCUAACUACGUGCCAGCAGCCGCGGUAAUACGUAGGGUGCGAGCGUUAAUCGGAAUUACUGGGCGUAAAGUGUGCGCAGGCGGCCGCGCAAGUCGAGUGUGAAAUCCCCGAGCUUAACUUGGGAAUUGCGCUCGAAACUACGUGGCUGGAGUGUGGCAGAGGAAGGUGGAAUUCCACGUGUAGCGGUGAAAUGCGUAGAGAUGUGGAGGAACACCGAUGGCGAAGGCAGCCUUCUGGGCCAACACUGACGCUCAUGCACGAAAGCGUGGGGAGCAAACAGGAUUAGAUACCCCCGUAGUCC